UUUUAAUGUGGGCUACUCAUAAAAAUUUCGUUAAAAUUGACGGUCAUUUCCUUUGUUCGUUCAAGUGUCAGUGUGCGUGUGUGUGUGUGAGUGUGUGUGGGUGUGAGAGUAUGCCGGCAUUUUGUUUGGCGCGUAAAACGGCGUCUGUUAUCAGCAGAGUGGUGCAAGCUGCUUAUCAGACAGACACGCACGCACACAUGCACGGGUCAAGGCGCAGGCACAAAAACAAUAAGAAGCACACAAUGGCUCUUGUCUGCAUAUAAACGGAAUACAUAAAUAUCAAAAUGUGCCAGCUAGUGUGUGUCAAUGGGCAACGGGCAACAAUGGCGCGACAAUGACGAGCCGUUAAAAUCUGUGACCGGAAACGGAAAUCCAUGUAAUGACAUUUUUAAUGCGUACAAUUGCUAGCUAAGAAGCGUUUUUAAUUUCGCAUUUGUCAGUGACAAGCAGGCACCCACGCACACGCACACGCACACACACGCACAUACACACAUAAAUACAUAUGACAUAAAAAUGCUCAUCUUAUAAAAUGACAGUUUCAUACACACACACGACACACACAUCCACACAUAAAUACAUAUAUUAUUAUAAGAACUUCUAGUAAUUCCGUUGAUGGCAGCUGUCAAAUUGCUGUCAUCUUAAAACAAUUGCAAAUAUUAUGAUGUGUUUUUAAAUGAUUUAAAUAAUACAUUGAAGUGGAAGUUGCAAGCAUUAAAAAAAAGUC